rnacentral:rRNA from 1 species
UGAGUUUGAUCCUGGCUCAGGACGAACGCUGGCGGCGUGCCUAAUACAUGCAAGUCGAGCGGACAGAAGGGAGCUUGCUCCCGGAUGUUAGCGGCGGACGGGUGAGUAACACGUGGGUAACCUGCCUGUAAGACUGGGAUAACUCCGGGAAACCGGAGCUAAUACCGGAUAGUUCCUUGAACCGCAUGGUUCAAGGAUGAAAGACGGUUUCGGCUGUCACUUACAGAUGGACCCGCGGCGCAUUAGCUAGUUGGUGGGGUAAUGGCUCACCAAGGCGACGAUGCGUAGCCGACCUGAGAGGGUGAUCGGCCACACUGGGACUGAGACACGGCCCAGACUCCUACGGGAGGCAGCAGUAGGGAAUCUUCCGCAAUGGACGAAAGUCUGACGGAGCAACGCCGCGUGAGUGAUGAAGGUUUUCGGAUCGUAAAGCUCUGUUGUUAGGGAAGAACAAGUGCGAGAGUAACUGCUCGCACCUUGACGGUACCUAACCAGAAAGCCACGGCUAACUACGUGCCAGCAGCCGCGGUAAUACGUAGGUGGCAAGCGUUGUCCGGAAUUAUUGGGCGUAAAGGGCUCGCAGGCGGUUUCUUAAGUCUGAUGUGAAAGCCCCCGGCUCAACCGGGGAGGGUCAUUGGAAACUGGGAAACUGGGAAACUUGAGUGCAGAAGAGGAGAGUGGAAUUCCACGUGUAGCGGUGAAAUGCGUAGAGAUGUGGAGGAACACCAGUGGCGAAGGCGACUCUCUGGUCUGUAACUGACGCUGAGGAGCGAAAGCGUGGGGAGCGAACAGGAUUAGAUACCCUGGUAGUCCACGCCGUAAACGAUGAGUGCUAAGUGUUAGGGGGUUUCCGCCCCUUAGUGCUGCAGCUAACGCAUUAAGCACUCCGCCUGGGGAGUACGGUCGCAAGACUGAAACUCAAAGGAAUUGACGGGGGCCCGCACAAGCGGUGGAGCAUGUGGUUUAAUUCGAAGCAACGCGAAGAACCUUACCAGGUCUUGACAUCCUCUGACAACCCUAGAGAUAGGGCUUUCCCUUCGGGGACAGAGUGACAGGUGGUGCAUGGUUGUCGUCAGCUCGUGUCGUGAGAUGUUGGGUUAAGUCCCGCAACGAGCGCAACCCUUGAUCUUAGUUGCCAGCAUUYAGUUGGGCACUCUAAGGUGACUGCCGGUGACAAACCGGAGGAAGGUGGGGAUGACGUCAAAUCAUCAUGCCCCUUAUGACCUGGGCUACACACGUGCUACAAUGGACAGAACAAAGGGCUGCAMGAYCGCRAGGUUUAGCCAAUCCCAUAAAUCUGUUCUCAGUUCGGAUCGCAGUCUGCAACUCGACUGCGUGAAGYUGGAAUCGCUAGUAAUCGCGGAUCASCAUGCCG